AAAAAUGUAUGGUAACUUGAUUUUUACUCUUCAAAUGUAGAAAAAUUGCCAAAGAAUCAAAUUACAAAGCAGGAGAUUGAUACAAAAUCAAGAGGCAAACAUGUUUGCCAUUAAGGAGAAGCCAGGUGAAAUAGUACUAAAUAAAUGAUUAAAAAUAUAUGAUAAAACUAACAUGAAAAAAUGAAAGGAAGGCUUUAAAUGAUAAAAUCUUAAUGUUUGCUGCCAGUAUCACAUGAGUUCUAGAGAGCACAUGAUUCAAUCUUCAAUCUUCAUCAUCUGAGUUAAAUACAAUCUUUUUAGCCUUUGGAGCAUCUGCAGAUAUUUCUCUGAAGUGGGCCCCAUAAAGCUUGGACUCCUUUUUCUUUACAUGAGUGCCAAAUUUCAAAAGAGCAGAUGGCACAACUUGCCCAGCUUCACGGAGAACAUUCACAAGCUCUCCAGCAAGCGCCUUAUUUUGAUGCAUGAAAAACGUGUGGGCAACACCCUUCUUACCAGCCCGUCCAGUCCUUCCAAUUCUGUGGACAUAAUCUUCUGUAGUGAGUGGAAAACUAUAAUUGAUCACCACUUCAACAUCUGGAACAUCCAAUCCUCGAGCAGCAACAUCAGUAGCUACCAUUAAAGGACAGUUGCCCUUCUUGAACAAUGAUAGCGCCUUUGUUCGUUGAUCUUGUGCUUUGUUGCCAUGUAUAGAAACAACAUUCCAACCUCUACAACAUCAAAAAAGAGCAAGGAAGAAAGGUGAAGAGAGAAAAGGGGGCCAGGGGAAUAAUCAAUAGCUUCCCAAUUGUAUUUUUCAGCAACUAGCUUCAUAGCCAGAUUUGGCUUGUCUUAAAUAUAAUUCAAUUUCAAAUUACCUAGUUUUCAGCAUUCCUUCAAGACGAGCAGCUUCCUUCUGGUACAAGGCAAAAACCAAUACUCUGUUCCUGAUUGCAAGUAUAGGAAUUUAAAGCUCAUUUGGUUCUAGCUUCAAAAUCAGAAACAAAAUUGGAAUUGAAGCCAAAUAAAAUGACAAAUAUAAUGACUAACUUCCACACAUGUUUUUUUUUUCCAGUUGGUUCAAUUUUGUUCAGCUCAAAAUUUACUAAAAUCAAAAUAACCAAAAUUCUCAUACAAUAGAGUCAAAUUGAACCAAAUUCUAUGUGAUAAUUUGAAUCAAAUUCAUUUGGUUAUUAAUUUCAAUGGUUCUUUUUUCGCUGAUCUAAAAUGCAAAUUGGCUUCAACUUUGGGUUGAAUUUUUCAUAAAUAACAACAUAGAAAUAAAUAAAUAAGAGUAUACGAUUUAUAAAAUGAAAUAGCUAUUUUUUUAAUUCAGUUACUUGAAAUCCAUAAAAAUUGAAAUUGAAUCAAACUAAAACAACAAAAAUUUAUCUGUAUGAUUUUAUUUUUCAGCUUAAAACAAAUAAGGCUCACACUUAGCUUGGCAUGCAAUUGGAAUCUAACUCCUACUAUGGUGGUUGGCUUAUCAAAAUAUGGUGAAAUCAGAAUGAAUAAAGAUAUAAUGAAAAUAAUUUUUAUAACAAACUAAGGCAUAGUUGCUCAAAGAACAAAAUGCAAUAUCCUUUAACAUUUUUUAUUAAUCAGUUUUUCAAACUCCAUCUAUGGAAAAAAAAAUUUAUACUAAGUUGAACUAAACAUAGCUUCUGAUGCAAGUCUGGCUGAAGCAAGUAACAACUAGUUUUUCCACAACUUUAUCAUAUCAUUGUUGUAUGGAUACUAAAAGAUUUAUCAUUGGGUUGUUGCCUUCUUGCAAUGUGCUGCAUCUAAGCAUGAUGAAGAGAACAAUUGGCAAGGGAGGCAUUCCCAAAAACAAUGCAUCAUUUUGGCACUUGAUUGUGGCGCUAAGUAGGCAAGGGUUCUCAAAUUUUUCUAAACAGUUGUGAAUAAUGAAGUCAACCAAAGAAGCAAAAGCAUCCCUUCUAAGUAACAUACCAGAUUAAUACCCAAAGAAGGUGAGAUAUAUGCAAGAUCCAACACUAAAACGAAUAGAUGCUGGUGAUGUACGAUAAAGAGAAAGAACCAAGAAAUUAAGGACCAAUCCUUGAAAAGAAAACUAAUUCUCUAAAAUAUUAUUGAUCUUAUAAAAUUGUCAUAAGAAAACUUGUCUAGUAACAAUAGAAACCCUCAGUCUUAUUUAUAGAAUUAGGAAU
rnacentral:misc_RNA from 1 species